rnacentral:rRNA from 1 species
UACGUAGGGUGCGAGCGUUGUCCGGAAUUAUUGGGCGUAAAGGGCUCGUAGGCGGUCUGUUGCGUCGGGAGUGAAAACUCAGGGCUUAACCCUGAGCCUGCUUCCGAUACGGGCAGACUAGAGGUAUGCAGGGGAGAACGGAAUUCCUGGUGUAGCGGUGAAAUGCGUAGAUAUCGAGAGGAACACCAGCGGCGAAGGCGGCUCACUGGGCUCCACCUGACGCUGAGGCGCGAAAGCGUGGGGAGCGAACCGG